rnacentral:rRNA from 1 species
CUACGGGAGGCUCCAGUGGGGAAUUUUGCGCAAUGGGCGAAAGCCUGACGCAGCAACGCCGCGUGAGGGAUGAAGGCCUUCGGGUUGUAAACCUCUUUCGGGUGGGAAGAAAAAAAUGACGGUACCACCAGAAGAAGCCCCGGCUAACUCCGUGCCAGCAGCCGCGGUAAUACGGAGGGGGCAAGCGUUGGUCGGAAUUAUUGGGCGUAAAGCGUAUGUAGGCGGUCUGGCAAGUCAGACGUGUAAGCCCACGGCUCAACCGUGGAAUUGCGUUUGAAACUAUCAGGCUUGAGUUCGGAAGAGGAAAGCGGAAUUCCCAGUGUAGCGGUGAAAUGCAUUGAUAUUGGGAAGAACAUCGGUGGCGAAGGCGGCUUUCUGGUCCGAUACUGACGCUGAGAUACGAAAGCCAGGGGAGCAAACGGGAUUAGAUACCCUAGUAGUC